rnacentral:ncRNA from 1 species
GAGAGCCGUGUGCGGUGAAAGUCGCAAGCACGGUUCGGAGGGGGGCAGUUGGAAAAGUGCUUGACCGGGACGUCAAGGAACUCGCUGGCUGCCUACCCUAC